AUACGAAGGGGGCUAGCGUUGCUCGGAAUUACUGGGCGUAAAGAGCACGUAGGUGGUUUAUCAAGUUGGCUGUGAAAUCCCCGGGCUUAACCUGGGUUGGUCAGCCAAUACUGGUAAACUAGAGGCCAAGAGAGGGUAGUGGAAUUUCCGGUGUAGCGGUGAAAUGCAUAGAUAUCGGAAGGAACACCAGUGGCGAAGGCGACUACCUGGCUUGGUUCUGACACUGAGGUGCGAAAGCGUGGGGAGCAAACAGGAUUAGAAACCCCAGUAGUCC
rnacentral:rRNA from 1 species